rnacentral:lncRNA from 1 species
UUUGCAUGAAUUAUGGCAGGAUACAAGAAUAAUCCCAGAAUAAUGACCGAGCCACUUACUAUAUACGUCUUUAACGAAGCCAGAUACAUGACAAAAAUAAGCAACAAAGCAGGUGGAACGCAAAUUGCCGUUGCUCCAAAUGUUUGAAAUGGGACCUUAUAAGGUCUAUGAAGAUCAGGCUUCACUAUCCUUAAUUUUAUGAAGGCUGCAGGCAAAUCGCCGUUGCUCCAACUGUUUGAAAGGGGACCUUAUAAGGUCUGUGAAGAUCAGGCUUCAAUAUCCUUAAUUUUAUGAAGGCUGCAAACUCGAGAAGCAUUCCUACUGAAUAAAGGAA